GUACUACUCCCUCCGUUCCUAAUUAUUUGUCUUGGAUUUGUCUAGAUACAGAUUUAUCUAGACUUAUUUAGAUAAAUUUGUAUCUAGACAAAUCCAAGACAAGUAAUUCGGAACGGAGGGAGUAGCUC
rfam:Triticum aestivum genome assembly, contig: Triticum_aestivum_CS42_TGACv1_scaffold_641439_T_5AS-0.132812_4BL-0.075910